UACGAAGGGGGCGAGCGUUGUUCGGAUUUACUGGGCGUAAAGGGCGCGCAGGCGGCUCAUUUUGUCAGGCGUGAAAGCCCCGGGCUUAACCUGGGAACUGCGUUUGAUACGGAUGGGCUAGAGUUCGGGAGAGGAGAGUGGAAUUCCCAGUGUAGAGGUGAAAUUCGUAGAUAUUGGGAAGAACACCGGUGACGAAGGCGGCUCUCUGGACCGAGACUGACGCUGAGGCGCGAAAGCGUGGGGAGCAAACAGG
rnacentral:rRNA from 1 species